GAGGUGUGGGAAGUAGGUCGCUUUCUGAUGAAUUAAGUGGCAGUGAAUUGAGACCAGAGGGAAUCUGGCCCCUAGAGGCUGGUACUUGCGCCCGAAACCCCCAUCUGCUCCGGAGAGACAGUCCGAGGUAAUUGUCUGCCACGAGUGCACAUUCUGAAAACAGUAUAGGAGAUUUUAGUUCUAAAAAUGGGAAGAACCUAUAUUGUAGAAGAGACUGUUGGCCAGUAUCUUUCAAACAUAAAUCUCCAAGGAAAGGCUUUUGUCUCUGGCCUUUUAAUAGGACAGUGUUCGUCACAAAAGGAUUAUGUGAUUCUUGCCACUAGAACGCCACCCAAAGAGGAGCAAAGUGAGAACCUCAAACAUCCCAAAGCUAAGUUGGAUAACUUGGAUGAAGAAUGGGCCACAGAACAUGCCUGCCAGGUAUCCAGAAUGCUACCAGGGGGACUUUUAGUUCUUGGAGUAUUUAUUAUUACUACUUUAGAACUGGCAAGUGAUUUUCAAAAUGCCCUGCGUAGACUAAUGUUUGCUGUGGAAAAGUCUAUAAAUAGAAAGAGAUUGUGGAAUUUCACAGAGGAGGAAGUCUCAGAACGAGUGACACUUCACAUUUGUGCUUCUACAAAAAAAAUAUUCUGUCGAACUUAUGAUAUCCAUGAUCCAAAGAGUUCAGCAAGACCAGCAGAUUGGAAGUAUCAAAGUGGAUUAUCAUCCUCAUGGCUUUCUUUAGAGUGUACAGUUCACAUUAAUAUUCACAUCCCACUUUCUGCUACUUCUGUCAGCUAUACUCUGGAGAAAAAUACAAAGAAUGGACUUACACGCUGGGCCAAGGAAAUAGAAAAUGGUGUUUAUUUGAUUAAUGGACAAGUUAAAGGUGAAGAUUGUGACCUAUUAGAAGGACAGAAAAAAUCUUCUAGAGGAAAUACUCAAGCAACUAGUCUUUCUUUUGAUGUCAGAGUGCUAACGCAGUUGCUCCUGAAUUCAGACCACAGAUCCACAGCCACAGUCCAGAUAUGUAGCGGUUCUGUAAACCUUAAAGGUGCUGUGAAAUGCAGAGCUUAUAUUCACAGCAGUAAACCCAAAGUUAAAGAUGCUGUGCAGGCAGUAAAGAGGGAUAUAUUGAACACAGUUGCUGAUCGUUGUGAAAUACUAUUUGAGGAUCUGCUUUUGAAUGAAAUUCCAGGAAAAAAAGAUUCUGAAAAAGAGUUCCAUGUCCUCCCUUAUCGAGUCUUUGUUCCCCUUCCUGGAUCCACUGUAAUGUUGUGUGAUUAUAAAUUUGACGAUGAGUCAGCUGAAGAAAUCAGGGACCAUUUUAUGGAGAUGUUGGAUCAUACAAUUCAGAUAGAAGAUUUGGAAAUUGCAGAGGAAACAAACACAGUCUAGUAUAGAGAUGGAUUAACAGUAGGAAGAGUUUAAUAUUACAAGAACAAAGGAAGCAAAACAGCAAUUUGGAAAGUUUAGAGUCUUGCUCUGUUGCCCAGGCUGGAGUGCACUGGCACUAUCUUGGCUCACUGCAAGCUCCGCCUCCUGGGUUCACGUCAUUCUCCUGCGUCAGCCUCCUGAGUAUCUGGGACUACAGGUGCCUGCCACCAUACCCGGCUAAUUUUUUUGUAUUUUUAGUAGAGACAGGGUUUCACCAUGUUAGCCAGGAUGGUCUCCAUCUCCUGACCUCGUGACCUGCCCGCCUCGGCCUCCCAAAGUGCUGGGAUUACAAGCAUGAGCCACCGCGUCCGGCCAAAAAAUACCUUUUUAACAGAGAGAUUUGCUCAUAGAAGAGCCGAAGUUUGUUUUUGUUUUUAUUUAAUGUAAAAUUGUAUUACCCAUUCAACUUUUAGACCUAUGGACUGAAGCUGGAAGAAAUUUUAAAUUACUGGGCUAAUAUAGUCUAGAACUGAGGUAUUAUAGCCCUUGAGAAAACUAGAAACUGGAAAUAUAGAAGACUAGAUAUUCUUAGACAGUUCAUAAGAAUUUGUUGUUGUUUGUGACUGGUUUGAUGUGAGAAUAGAAAAAAAAACAGGGGAGGGUUUUUUUGUUGUUUGUUUUUAAAGUAUUUUAGUUAUAUACUUGAAGAAGAAAAAGAAAAAAGAAUAGUGGUGCCCUUAAUUCUAAUAAGAUAGUUACUAGGGAUUAUUUAUGAAAAUCAUAAACUUUGAUUUAUGAGAAAUUAAUGAGAAGUAGGUAAUUUUUUUUCUUUUUCAUCCAUUUUAGUAUCACAGAUACCUAUUUCAGUAAGUUUAUAUGUCAUUCUUUUGAGCUUGUGCUGUUAUAUUGGGGUGCAAAGAUAUGUAUAAGAACAUUGUAAAUUCAACAAUAGGCUAUUUUACUUUAAAUUUAAACAGUAAUAUUUACUAUCUCUCUUGAGUUCUCUCUCUUUUUUUGGGGUGGGGUGAGGGUAAAUAAACAGAUAAAUCUAAAAAUCUAAAUAAACAGAUAAAUGCUUUCAUAAUCUAGUUCCCUGGAGUUCUACAGAGUAGCAUUCUCCUGUCACCCCUAGGAUGGAAGAAAGAAGCUGAUCUGACUCUAGGAGUCCUCCCUCCCAGCUUCAGCCUGGGUAGCAUACUUCUAUCUUUUUUACACACUGGGAAUUUCUGUCAGAUUUUCUUUGUUUUCAUAGGAUUCUUCAGUCCUAGGGGAAAAAAACUGAAAACUAUUAGCCUGUGUGGUCUCUGAGGAUGUUAUCAGUUCACACACUUUCAUUCAGCAUUAAAUAAAUUCGGAUAGGCCAACCUGCAUAAAUUGCUGUCAGCAUAAUGAAAUAGAAAGAGAACUUGUGUCCAAAUCAUCAGUCAAAUGCCUGUGAUGGUCAAAAUGCACUUUAACCUCCCAGGUUAUGUUUUCCAUUUGUAAAAUGCGAUGAUGUCCUUGCCUUGCUUACCAUUCAGAGUUGUUUUAAGGUCAAAUUUUUGAUCAUAGUUUAAAUUUCAAGUUGGAUCAAGAGUCAGCAAACUUUUUGUUUUAUACAAAUAAAUAUUUUAGGCUUUGUGAGCCACAUAAGUUCUCUUUCACAUUCUUUUUUUUUUUUACAGUCUUUUAAAAAUAUAAAAAAUAGAUUUUUAGUUUGAGAGCUUUUACAAAAAUAGAUCAGGAGCCAGAGGCCCAUGUACUGCAGUGUGCUGGUCAGUGGUUUUAUUAUUAAUAUCUGAUUAUUUGAAAUUAUUAAUUGCUAAAACCACCAAUAAUGAUAUAAAUUAGGCUGGGCAUGGUGGUUCACACCUGUAAUCCCAGCACUUUGGGAGGCCGAGGCAGGCAGAUCACUUGUGGUCAGGAGUUUGAGACCAGCCUGGCCAACAUGGUGAAAUCCCGUCUAUACUGAAAAUACAAAAAUUAGGCCAGGCGUGAUGGCUCAUGGCUGUAAUCCCAGCACUUUGGGAGGCCAAGGUGGGCAGAUUACCUGAGGUCAGGAGUUAGGGACGAGCCUGGCCAACAUGGCAAAACCCUGUCUUUACUAAAAAUACAAAAGUUAGUGGGGCAUAGUGGUGCACCCCUGUAGUCCCAGCUACUCGGGAGGCUAAGGCAGGAGAAUUGCUUGAACCUGGAAGGUGGAGGUUGCAGUGAGCCGAGAUCAGGCCAUUGCACUCCAGCCUAGGCGACAGAGCAAGACUCUGUCUCAAAUAAAUUAAAUUAAAAUGCAAAAAUUAGCCAGGUGUGGUGGCAGGCGGCUGUAAUCCCAGCUACUCAGGAGGUUGAGGCAGGAGAAUCACUUGAACCUGGGAGUCAGAGGUUGCAGUGAGCUGAGAUCAUGCCACCACACUGCAGCCUGGGUGACACAGUAGGAUUCUGUCUCAAAAAGAAAAAAAAAAAAAAAAGUAAAUUAAUCUCAAGAGUGAAGUUUACUCUGCUAUGAAUUUUGGUAUAAAUUUAUCUCUACUACUAUAUAGUAAACGAAUUAUUAUUAUUGUUAUUUUUUUUUUGAGACAGAGUCUCGCCCAGGCUGGAGUGCAGUGGUGCAAUCUCGGCUCACUGUAACCUCCGUCUCCCGGGUUCAAGCAAUUCUCCUGCCUCAGCCUCCCAAGUAGCUGGGACUACAUGUGCACGCUGCCCCGCCCGUGUAAUUUUUUGUAUUUUAGUAGAGAUGGAGUUUCACUGUGUUGCCCAGGCUGGUCUUGAACUCCUGAGCUCAGGCACUCUUCCUGCCUCAGCCUCCCAAAGUGCUGGGAUUACAGGCGUCAGCCACCAUGCCUGGCCAACAAAUUAUAAUUUUUGAAAGUCAUUCAGAACUGGCUGUGUGGCCCUCUGGUGUAGUUCAAUGAUAAAGCUACAUUGUUUUGAAAACUCUCAAUUUGACAUAUAUUCUAUUAAAUUUAAUUCACCUGCAAUUGAUAAUGAACAAAUUCAUUAUGUUAUAUAAAAAACAAGUAGAAUGAAAAUGGUGUUGUAUAGUUUUUUAUAAUGUUCUUUAAAACUCAGUUUCAUGUGUUAAUUCUUAUUUUAUGUGGAAUUUAUUAUUA